GAUGUUUCACACUGGUUGCAGCGAUGGAAAAUAACUAUACUGCACCUCAGUACAAUUUCAAGCGAUUGUACUUGAGCAUUUGUCUUUUUUACCACUUUCUACUUCUAUGCUUUAAAUUUAGCAGCUGUAGUUUUAUUUAUAUACAACAUUUAUGAUCCAUUUUUUAAACAUGAUGCCUCAUUAGAGAUUAUAGUGUCUUCAGGUAAGUCGCUGAUGACAGUUGCUGCAGGUGAAGCUCUGCUGGGAUCAAUGUGAGCUCAUCAUGACCUCACAGGAACAAAAAAGUUGUAAAUUGCACAUCAUAACUCGUGUUUAAAUAAUCAUCUUGUGUCUGUCAGGACCUUGAACGCCCUGAGGACAACUUUUACUGUGAUAGAUUAGGAACAUGUUCCAGAGAAACAAACAGUCAUCCAUUCAAACACAUUAAUUGAACAGAUGACUGUUUGUUCCUCUGGCGUCAUCACAUCCUUCACCGUCAGAGACAUGAGACGCUACAGAUGUUAAAGGACCAGUCCUGUGUUUACAUAUAAAAGCUUCGAGUCGUUUGUUCGUCAGCUGCAGUGACGCUUCAAGCUGUGAGUGUAAAAAAAUACAACUAAAACAUAAACACACAUCAUUCACACACUCUGACCCCGUUCACACCUGACUCUAAUUCAGGGGUGUCAAACUGAUCCAGUAAAGGGCCAUGUGGCUGCAGGUUUUCAUUCCAACCAAGCAAGAACACACCUGAUCCAAAUUUGGUUGGCUGAUCCAAAUCAGGUGUGUUCUUGCUUGGUUGGAAUGAAAACCUGCAGCCACAUGGCCCUUUACUGGAUCAGUUUGACACCACUGCUCUAAUCCACUGAUCAUGAAAAACAAUAAUCAGCUGUGUUUGAUGAUUCUCCCCGCAGCCUCCAGGUGGUGCUGCUGAGCCCAGUGCAUGCUGGGAAGUCCUCCUGCUCUGUCAGGUGUAAAUGGGGCCUCUGAACUGAAAGAAGUGGCGUCCAGCUUCACUUUGUGUCCCUGCUCAUCAUUCUCUAAUCAA